rnacentral:rRNA from 1 species
UGGGGAAUUUUGGACAAUGGGGGAAACCCUGAUCCAGCCAUCCCGCGUGUGCGAUGAAGGCCUUCGGGUUGUAAAGCACUUUUGGCAGGAAAGAAACGUCGCGGGUUAAUACCCCGCGGAACUGACGGUACCUGCAGAAUAAGCACCGGCUAACUACGUGCCAGCAGCCGCGGUAAUACGUAGGGUGCAAGCGUUAAUCGGAAUUACUGGGCGUAAAGCGUGCGCAGGCGGUUCGGAAAGAAAGAUGUGAAAUCCCAGAGCUUAACUUUGGAACUGCAUUUUUAACUACCGGGCUAGAGUGUGUCAGAGGGAGGUGGAAUUCCGCGUGUAGCAGUGAAAUGCGUAGAUAUGCGGAGGAACACCGAUGGCGAAGGCAGCCUCCUGGGAUAACACUGACGCUCAUGCACGAAAAGCGUGGGGAGCAAACAGGAUUAGAUACCCUGGUAGUCCACGCCCUAAAACGAUGUCAACUAGCUGUUGGGGUCUUCGGACCUUGGUAGCGCAGCUAACGCGUGAAGUUGACCGCCUGGGGAGUACGGUCGCAAGAUUAAAAACUCAAAAGGAAAUU